UACAGAGAGGGGGUUUGGGGCUGGAUCCGUGGGACUGUUUCUGGGGGAUGAGUCUGAGGAAAGAACAGGAGACAAGGGUAAGGAGAAUGCAGAAGA